GCUUCCUAACCAGAUCAUCCACUGAAUCCCGGAAGCUAAGCAGGGUCGGGCCUGGUUAGUAAUUGGAUGGGAGACCGCCUGGGAAUACCGGGUGCUGUAGGCU
rnacentral:rRNA from 1 species